AACUAGUUUUCAAGAAUGGAGUUAAACUAGAUUUGCAUUCAACUCUGGUUUAUUGUGUUAAUGAUGUUUUGCUGUAACAAAUAUGAAUUUUUUGUUUAAGUAUAAUAAUUUAAAAUGUUUUUUCUAGAGAAUGAAGUACUGCCACUAAGGUAAAGGUGCUAACUUGCAAGGAGCUGUUCUCAAAACAUUGGGUGACAAAGAAUUCACUUUUACAAAAAUCGAGCAGGAUAUUAAAGACAGCGAACUAUAGAACAAAUAUGGCGAAGCUGCAUGAAGUCUAUGUUGAAUUUUAUUAUU